AAGACCAGGGCAGGAGAUGAAAAUAGAGGGAGGAUGAGAGACAAGAGCAUGUCGAUGCUUUAAAUUAAAUUUAUCUCCUAAUUUGGCUCAUAAUUUAAUUAAUCCUAAUUUAAUUAAAUGUAUCUCCUAAUUUAAAAAGCCUAUCAAUAUCCCAAUUUGGAAUAUUAACAAAAUUUUUGCAAACAAAAUGUAGAGUUAGCCCAUUUCCAAAGAUGAUGACAGAAUGGAGUUUUAGGACAGAGUAACAAGCACAUAUUUCAAAUAUUGUGGGCCCAAGAAUAAGCUUGCACUUUAAUUGAAGACAGAACAAUUAGUGACAGAUGAGCUCCAAUUCAUCAAAUUGGUCAAAAUCUUAAAACUCCCAUUGACAUGGGGUACAAAUGCAGUUUAUAUCUCUUUUUUUCAAGCCCUUCCCCACCUACCUGGUGAACAGUAAACCCAAGGUCCUCUUCUUUGCCUCCAUCCUUACUCUGAAUUGUCUGUGAAUUCAGGGACUUACAGUUUCAAGAUAUAAGACCUGGAGUCUGACCGGUAGACUAAACAUCCACUCCAGGCCCCUGCUAACCCCGAGGAAGAAGCCUGGAGGUAGAGGGAGGAGAAAUGAGACCAACUCAGGCCGGUGGCCAAGGUCAAUCCCCAGCUUCAAUAUCUCACCCCACGAUCGACCUCUUUCGCUGAAGUCAGGAGUGACAGCAAUUAACUCCUCCGCUGCACCGUCCCCAGGGCCAGAUGCCACGUGAGAGACCCCAGGCUGGAGCGAGAGAGAACAGCUAUUGUGAAGAUAUGAUGACAAGAAAAAAAAGUCGAUGUGAAAACAUUAAAGUAGUCUCUGAAGAGAUUCUUUCAGAUUUCACUAAGGAGAAGGAAUUGUGGGCAUAAUGGUAGUGGAACACAAGGAUGGAGAAAGAGUGUCUUACUCUGUUACCUAGGCAGCUGGAGUGCAGUGAUCACAGCUCACGGCAGCCUUGAACUCCAGGGCUCAAGCAAUCCUACUGCCUCAGCCUCCCAAGUAGCUGCAACUACAGGCACAUGCCACCAUACUCAGCUAAGUUUUUUUUUUUUUUAAAUUUUUUGUAGAAAUGGGGUCUCAUUUUGUUGCCCAGGCUGGUCUUGAAUGCCUGGCCUCAAGCCAUCCUCCUGCCUCUGCUUCCCAAACUGUAGGAUUACAGGUAUGAGCCACCGCAUCUAGCCUGUGAUUGUCUUUUUGUUGUGUCAACUUGGAUAGACUACAGUCUCUGGUUACAGAAUCAAAUACAAAUCUAGGUGUUAUUGUGAAUGGAAUUUGUAAAUGUAAUUUAAGACUAUAAUUAGUAGACUUUAACAAAGGGAGCGUAUCCUAGAUAAUCCAGGUGAGCCCAAUUUAAUCAGCUGAAAGGCCUUAAUAGCAGAGCUGAGGCUUCCCUGAAGAGGAAGAAAUUCCACCUGCGGAUGGCAGCUUCCACCUGUGCCUGACAGUUCCAGCCUGCCCUCCUGAGUGCCUGCCCUACAGACUUCAGACUUGCCUAGCCAUCCCCCACAAUCACAUAAGCCAAUUCUUUGUAAUAAACCUCUUAAUAUUUAUGUCCUAUUCGUUCUACUUCUCUAAUUGGAUCCUGACUGAUACACUAUAAAUUCAAAGUGUCUUAGAGAGGCUGAGCUUGCAGUUUCCCAGUGUACUUUCAGUAAAUAACAGAAUAUCAAACUUUCAGAGCUUUAAAUCAGACAUACUCUUAUUCCUGCUGAUACAUUCUACCAAGCAUCUUUUCCUAACAUGGACCAGUUAAAUGUCUCAUUUUUCUUUUUUUUUUUCCAAGCAAUAGUGUCACUUGCCAAAGAUGUUUUAAGUUCAUUAAUUUAACCCUUCUCCCCAACCAUUUCUGCAGGUGUGGUAGAGAAGAGACCUCCUUAGCAGUUAUGGUUAGUGUCAGACUGGGCUGCCUUGCCACCUUGAAGUAGCGUAGAUUUGAGAGUAUAGAUUGUCUUUCAGAUUACAGAACUAGUCCCUGAAGUUAAGUAGCAGAGCUUUUACCAUGCUUAGUUCCAAAUUCUAGAACAACCCCCAGCCUUCUCCAAAGUUAAAAACAGUCUAAUUGACAGUGGUUGAUUUUGGCUGGCUGGGUGAUGAUGAAAGAAAGGAGAGCACUUGCAUAGUUUAUGGUGAAGAUAAAGCACAUAUCAGGCAUUGUAAUUAUCUAGCCGCACACUAUAAACUUUUCCAUUUCAUUCAUUUCUGUAUCUCUUGCUCUUUAUUGUCAGUUGCAGAGGCACAACACUUUUCUCAGGAUUCAUGAUCAACUCUGCCCUUUGCAAUUGUUCCUACUGUCUAAAAAUUAAUUCCACAUGCAUGUACAAACUUACAUUUUAUUUUCUCACUGCCUUCUGAUUUUAAAAAUGUUUCUACUUUCAUUUUGUCAUAAUUAUGCUCCUUUUUUAAGUAACACUUUUAAUAUUAUUGCUACUUUUGCACUUCUCAGAUAUGUGGAGUCAAAAAUGUUUCUAGAACAUUUCAAAAUCAUGCACAAAUGCAGCAAAUUACCAAGUAUUAAGGAGUAAGUGGUUGGCAGAGACCUAAAUGGCAGGGCAUUGGACAAUAGCGCCAUCUGUUGGUUGUGGAUAGAGCUGGCUUCUCUCUAUCCGGUCUUUAUUCUUAGGUAUAAAGGGUAAUUUCCUAUGAUAGUUCCUAGGAGGAGGAACUUCUGUCAUGAUUUCACACACCCUUGACGUACUUUCUUUCUGUGAAUGUUAAAAGCCUUUAAUAGUAAGGGUCACUUUGGUCCCAAGUGGUCAGGCUGGGCCUUUGGAAGGCCAGGUGAGCCCACACAGGGAGUUCUGCGUGAGCCCCUCAUUGCUCCUAUACCAGUGCCACAGCUGUUUUCCAGUGAGAGCCAUUACCUAGAUCACAGGUUCUA